AUUCCAGCUCCAAGAGCGUAUAUUAAAGUUGUUGCAGUUAAAAAGUUCGUAGUUGGAUUUCUGGUCUAAUGCGCCUGGCCCGCUGCCGUUAGGUAUGUGAGUGCCGGUGCGCGUUUACCAUCCUUCCAGAGAACACUUCUACCAUUUAUUUGGACGGAUGUUGUCUUCUGGAUCUUUUACUUUGAAAAAAUUAGAGUGUUUAAAGCAGGCCUUUGCUGUGAAUACAUUAGCAUGGAAUAAUAAUCUAGGACUUCGGUUCUAUUUUGUUGGUUUCUAGUACUGAAGUAAUGAUUGAUAGGGAUAGUUGGGGGUGCUAGUAUUGGCCGGCCAGAGGUGAAUUUCUUGGAUUCGGUCAAGACUAACUUAUGCGAAAGCAUUCACCAAGGAUGUCUUCAUUG
rnacentral:rRNA from 1 species